AGUGAACGCUGGCGGUAGGCCUAACACAUGCAAGUCGAACGGCAGCACAGUAAGAGCUUGCUCUUACGGGUGGCGAGUGGCGGACGGGUGAGGAAUACAUCGGAAUCUACUUUUUCGUGGGGGAUAACGUAGGGAAACUUACGCUAAUACCGCAUACGACCUACGGGUGAAAGCAGGGGAUCUUCGGACCUUGCGCGAUUGAAUGAGCCGAUGUCGGAUUAGCUAGUUGGCGGGGUAAAGGCCCACCAAGGCGACGAUCCGUAGCUGGUCUGAGAGGAUGAUCGGCCAAACUGGAACUGAGAAACGGUCCAGACUCCUACGGGAGGCAGCAGUGGGGAAUAUUGGACAAUGGGCGGAAGCCUGAUCCAGCAAUACCGCGUGGGUGAUGAAGGCCUUCGGGUUGUAAAACCCUUUUGUUGGGAAAGAAAAGCAGCAGGUUAAUACCCCGCUGUUCUGACGGUACCCAAAGAAUAAGCGCCGGCUAACUUCGUG
rnacentral:rRNA from 1 species